UUAAGCGACUAAGCGUACACGGUGGAUGCCCUGGCAGUCAGAGGCGAUGAAGGACGUGCUAAUCUGCGAUAAGCGUCGGUAAGGUGAUAUGAACCGUUAUAACCGGCGAUUUCCGAAUGGGGAAACCCAGUGUGUUUCGACACACUAUCAUUAACUGAAUCCAUAGGUUAAUGAGGCGAACCGGGGGAACUGAAACAUCUAAGUACCCCGAGGAAAAGAAAUCAACCGAGAUUCCCCCAGUAGCGGCGAGCGAACGGGGAGCAGCCCAGAGCCUGAAUCAGUGUGUGUGUUAGUGGAAGCGUCUGGAAAGGCGCGCGAUACAGGGUGACAGCCCCGUACACAAAAAUGCACAUGCUGUGAGCUCGAUGAGUAGGGCGGGACACGUGGUAUCCUGUCUGAAUAUGGGGGGACCAUCCUCCAAGGCUAAAUACUCCUGACUGACCGAUAGUGAACCAGUACCGUGAGGGAAAGGCGAAAAGAACCCCGGCGAGGGGAGUGAAAAAGAACCUGAAACCGUGUACGUACAAGCAGUGGGAGCACGCUUAGGCGUGUGACUGCGUACCUUUUGUAUAAUGGGUCAGCGACUUAUAUUCUGUAGCAAGGUUAACCGAAUAGGGGAGCCGAAGGGAAACCGAGUCUUAACUGGGCGUUAAGUUGCAGGGUAUAGACCCGAAACCCGGUGAUCUAGCCAUGGGCAGGUUGAAGGUUGGGUAACACUAACUGGAGGACCGAACCGACUAAUGUUGAAAAAUUAGCGGAUGACUUGUGGCUGGGGGUGAAAGGCCAAUCAAACCGGGAGAUAGCUGGUUCUCCCCGAAAGCUAUUUAGGUAGCGCCUCGUGAAUUCAUCUCCGGGGGUAGAGCACUGUUUCGGCAAGGGGGUCAUCCCGACUUACCAACCCGAUGCAAACUGCGAAUACCGGAGAAUGUUAUCACGGGAGACACACGGCGGGUGCUAACGUCCGUCGUGAAGAGGGAAACAACCCAGACCGCCAGCUAAGGUCCCAAAGUCAUGGUUAAGUGGGAAACGAUGUGGGAAGGCCCAGACAGCCAGGAUGUUGGCUUAGAAGCAGCCAUCAUUUAAAGAAAGCGUAAUAGCUCACUGGUCGAGUCGGCCUGCGCGGAAGAUGUAACGGGGCUAAACCAUGCACCGAAGCUGCGGCAGCGACGCUGAUGCGUUGUUGGGUAGGGGAGCGUUCUGUAAGCCUGUGAAGGUGUGCUGUGAGGCAUGCUGGAGGUAUCAGAAGUGCGAAUGCUGACAUAAGUAACGAUAAAGCGGGUGAAAAGCCCGCUCGCCGGAAGACCAAGGGUUCCUGUCCAACGUUAAUCGGGGCAGGGUGAGUCGACCCCUAAGGCGAGGCCGAAAGGCGUAGUCGAUGGGAAACAGGUUAAUAUUCCUGUACUUGGUGUUACUGCGAAGGGGGGACGGAGAAGGCUAUGUUGGCCGGGCGACGGUUGUCCCGGUUUAAGCGUGUAGGCUGGUUUUCCAGGCAAAUCCGGAAAAUCAAGGCUGAGGCGUGAUGACGAGGCACUACGGUGCUGAAGCAACAAAUGCCCUGCUUCCAGGAAAAGCCUCUAAGCAUCAGGUAACAUCAAAUCGUACCCCAAACCGACACAGGUGGUCAGGUAGAGAAUACCAAGGCGCUUGAGAGAACUCGGGUGAAGGAACUAGGCAAAAUGGUGCCGUAACUUCGGGAGAAGGCACGCUGAUAUGUAGGUGAAGUCCCUCGCGGAUGGAGCUGAAAUCAGUCGAAGAUACCAGCUGGCUGCAACUGUUUAUUAAAAACACAGCACUGUGCAAACACGAAAGUGGACGUAUACGGUGUGACGCCUGCCCGGUGCCGGAAGGUUAAUUGAUGGGGUCAGCGCAAGCGAAGCUCUUGAUCGAAGCCCCGGUAAACGGCGGCCGUAACUAUAACGGUCCUAAGGUAGCGAAAUUCCUUGUCGGGUAAGUUCCGACCUGCACGAAUGGCGUAAUGAUGGCCAGGCUGUCUCCACCCGAGACUCAGUGAAAUUGAACUCGCUGUGAAGAUGCAGUGUACCCGCGGCAAGACGGAAAGACCCCGUGAACCUUUACUAUAGCUUGACACUGAACAUUGAGCCUUGAUGUGUAGGAUAGGUGGGAGGCUUUGAAGUGUGGACGCCAGUCUGCAUGGAGCCGACCUUGAAAUACCACCCUUUAAUGUUUGAUGUUCUAACGUUGACCCGUAAUCCGGGUUGCGGACAGUGUCUGGUGGGUAGUUUGACUGGGGCGGUCUCCUCCUAAAGAGUAACGGAGGAGCACGAAGGUUGGCUAAUCCUGGUCGGACAUCAGGAGGUUAGUGCAAUGGCAUAAGCCAGCUUGACUGCGAGCGUGACGGCGCGAGCAGGUGCGAAAGCAGGUCAUAGUGAUCCGGUGGUUCUGAAUGGAAGGGCCAUCGCUCAACGGAUAAAAGGUACUCCGGGGAUAACAGGCUGAUACCGCCCAAGAGUUCAUAUCGACGGCGGUGUUUGGCACCUCGAUGUCGGCUCAUCACAUCCUGGGGCUGAAGUAGGUCCCAAGGGUAUGGCUGUUCGCCAUUUAAAGUGGUACGCGAGCUGGGUUUAGAACGUCGUGAGACAGUUCGGUCCCUAUCUGCCGUGGGCGCUGGAGAACUGAGGGGGGCUGCUCCUAGUACGAGAGGACCGGAGUGGACGCAUCACUGGUGUUCGGGUUGUCAUGCCAAUGGCACUGCCCGGUAGCUAAAUGCGGAAGAGAUAAGUGCUGAAAGCAUCUAAGCACGAAACUUGCCCCGAGAUGAGUUCUCCCUGACUCCUUGAGAGUCCUGAAGGAACGUUGAAGACGACGACGUUGAUAGGCCGGGUGUGUAAGCGCAGCGAUGCGUUGAGCUAACCGGUACUAAUGAACCGUGAGGCUUAACCU
rnacentral:rRNA from 1 species